CCGGGGCGCGCCCCGGGCGGGGCGGGGGCACGGGGGUUGGAGGGCAAGUCUGGUGCCAGCAGCCGCGGUAAUUCCAGCUCCAAUAGCGUAUAUUAAAGUUGUUGCAGUUAAAAAGCUCGUAGUUGAAUUUCGGAAUUUGUCGGUUGGUCGGGCUUCACUGUCCGCACUGACCUGAUGGAUUCCUACCUUCUGAAUAACCAGCAUGCUAUUAAUUUAGUGCGUUGGGGAAGCAGAGCUAUUACCUUGAAAAAAUUAGAGUGCUUAAAGCAGGCUUGUGCUUGAAUAGAUUAGCAUGGAAUAAUAAAAUAGGACGGCAUGGUUCUAUUUUGUUGGUUUCUAGGAUCACCGUAAUGAUUAAUAGGGAUAGUUGGGGGCAUUAGUAUUCAAUUGUCAGAGGUGAAAUUCUUGGAUUUAUUGAAGACUAACUUUUGCGAAAGCAUUUGCCAAGGAUGUUUUCAUUAAUCAAGAACGAAAGUUAGGGGAUCGAAGACGAUCAGAUACCGUCGUAGUCUAACCAUAAACUAUGCCGACUAGGAUCGAC
rnacentral:rRNA from 1 species